AGCCCCGGCCGCCGCCGCCGCCGCCUCCUCCCGGGCUCCUCGGACGCCCCGUCCCGGUCCCGGUCCCCGUCCCGGUGCCCGUCCCCGUCCGCGGGCGGCGGGUUGGAGAGCUCCAACUUUUCCACCUUCAACUUUGAAAAGGAAUCACACCGACAUCAAGACGAUGGGAGACUUCCAUAAAAAUAUGAUCUCAUGCCAGCACAGAUUGGCCUGCUGGGAUCCCAGAUGAAGUCUAACAAAAAAGAGAGAAGCGAGCUGGGAUGUGACACCUGCGCUGCUCCCUGUGUGCCCAUGGCAGCCAGAAUCCGGCCCCAGGGAGGAAAGGCACCACGUGGUGGGUGUUAAGAGGGCACCUGCUGCCCAUAACAUCCCCACCACGCGUGGUUGGGAGCCCCAGUCUGAUGCUGCCCAGCUCCUCCACAGCUGGGGCACCACAGAAAGUCUCCUCCUGCCUGAAGCCCCAGCAAGAGACUGGGACCCAGUGCGGUGUGUCAAACUGGUCUGAGCACCAGGGCUGAGUGUCAGGAAGAGUGGUUACCUGUGGCAUCACUCCAGUGGGCUCAAGCUGGAUAAAGCCAGCAUUUUAGACAAUUGCUCUAAUCGCUAGGAAGAAGCACGACAAAAGUUGGUGUAUGGAUAGGCAUUUGGACCUCUAACUCCCAUGGGAAGCUGUUUCCUUUCCAGUCCAAGGAGUCUCAUAUGAGCAAAAGUUAUUACUUCUUUCACCUUUCGUCUGAGUUUAUUUCGAGAAGUGAAGAAUUAGUUGGAGCUCCGUGAGAUGAAAUCUGAACCUUCACCUAUUGCAGGAACCACACAGGUUUGGAAAGGUUUCAGAAAACACUUCUGUUGCUAACUGUAAUUAUUCUUAAAGUCAAGAGCAGAUUCCAAAGUGCUGGGAUCCUUCUUGCAGCAACAAUGUUCAAGGCUUCUUGGCUGUGUGUAGCUUCUAUUGUGUAGCGAGAGGAGAAACAAUUUGGAGCUUUUAGGCAGGGAGUUUGCUUUAGCCUAUCACAUUGCUGCUUCUUUUAAAAUCCUCUGUGGAGAUAGCAGUGAUUCGGUGUUGUAACUUGUUUAUUUCCUUAGACUUAAUACCAUCCAUUUAUAAUUUACCCUAAGGAGCUCAGCUCCACCCUUCUCAAAUACUGUAGCCUGUGAAUUUCCUCACUCCAAAUAGGUUUGGUAUUCUUUCCCCUCACUUACAUUAGCUAAAGAUUCAACUAGUUAAAACAUGCAAACAGACAAAUACACCAAUAGAAGAGCAAAUCUCAUGCCCAGAAGUUGCACGGCAGCUAAGAGCAAAUAAAGUCUGAGUGUGGCUCGACUCUGAUUUAUGGGAAGACUGAAGUGGUGAGGAGGCGAAUGCAUUGUAAAUGCAGUCCUAAAAACACUCUGUAACAGCAGAGUAUGCCAAAACUGAUGCUCCAGUUUAAAUAAGAGAUGUGGAAAGCCCUGAUUUAUAGAUUUGUAUGAUGUUCUUACUUCAGAACCAUAGGAUCACUCAGGUUGGAAAAGACCUUCAAAGUCACCAAGUCCAACCAUCAGCCUGACCUACAGAGGCCCAUCACUAAACCACGUCCCUCGGUGCCACAUUCGUGUGUCUCUCAAAUACCUCCAGGGAUGGGGACUCCACCCCUUCUCUGGGCAGAGUCUCGUGCUGUGCCACCAGGUCCAAAAUCAGCUCUGGUGGCUUUGCCCAGAGGCUCAGGUGAGUUUGCUGAGGGAGCAGUCCCUUCUCCCUAAAUGAAGGAGCAGCACGACAGAUGUGCUUGCUUUGCCAGCUCCUGAUAUGUAAUCGGGGGAUUAAGGGACUAGUUAAUAAGAAAAGAGUGUGGAAGACAGACAUAUUUACCUGGGCUAAGAGACAGGACUGGAACAGGCAGGAGUCCAACACUGCCUUGCAGAAAUUGUAUUCCUGUGGCACAGGAGCGUCAGGAGCAAUGAGGUGACACGUAAGAGGGAAACUAUACUGAAUAUUAGGGUCCCAGUUCUGGUACAGAAGGGUUUCUGUCUGUGAAGCAGCCUCCCAAAAGAAAGAGCAGAAGCAGUGCACAGGAUUGCACAGUGUAUUCAUGGUGUAGGAUGUGUUCUGCUUUUACAUAGGGUAUGGAUAUUGAGUUUGGAUGCUCUCAGUUUCUCCUCUAAUAAUUCCUAAAGCUCUAUUUAACCUUUUGAUUUACCCUUUUGAUACCAAAAAUCAAAUACCAAAAGCAUUUUGAUAACAAAAUGUUUAUACAUUUGAUACCAAAAUGCUGUUUUCCAGAGAUUUGAAUGUCUCCAAAAUCUUUUUUUUUUUUUUUUUUUUUUUUUUUUCUGGCUAUAGCAUUGCAUUAGUAGCAUGUAUUAUUAUGGAGCUAACAUUAGGGUUUUCCCACCAUUUGCCACAACUUUGUGCUUCUCGGUGCAGCAUCGCCUGCCAUUAGGUUGCCCGUUCACUCAGCGCUGCAAGAUGUGUUGUCACCCCUCCAGAAGCUGGUUAGAUUUGAUAGCAUCAGAUUCAUCCAUCCUGGGUAUUUCUGUGCCAUCCACACACCCUCCUGUCCCACUCUUUCCCAGAAGAGGGGACCACUGCUCUGCAGCAGAGCCCCCUGCUGCCUUUUCCUAUGAGCUCUCCAUGCCCUGACUGCACUCAGACACAGAAGCCUUUACACAGAGA